ACGUAGGUGGCGAGCGUUAUCCGGAAUCAUUGGGCGUAAAGAGGGAGCAGGCGGUCUGAGAGGUCUGUGGUGAAAGCCCGAAGCUAAACUUCGGUAAGCCAUGGAAACCGGCGGACUAGAGUGCGGCAGAGGAACGUGGAAUUCCAUGUGUAGCGGUGAAAUGCGUAGAUAUAUGGAGGAACACCAGUGGCGAAGGCGACGUUCUGGGCCGCAACUGACGCUCAGUCCCGAAAGCGUGGGGAGCAAAUAGGAUUAGAUACCCUAGUAGUCCACGCCGUAAACGAUGAGUACUAAGUGUUGGGGGUCAGACCUCAGUGCUGCAGUUAACGCAAUAAGUACUCCGCCUGAGUAGUACGUUCGCAAGAAUG
rnacentral:rRNA from 1 species